UACUCAUUUAUCAUGGCACCCUUAUUUGAA
rnacentral:piRNA from 1 species